ACAAAUUUUUAAUAUUUUCAAAAAAAACCUAUCCUAUUUAAAAUGAAUUCAAGAAAAGAAAAAAAAAAUUGGAAAAGAUACAGAUUCGUUCUCUCCCAAUCUCACGCUCUCAGCAAUCGCCUUCAACCUCUCGUCUCUCUCACACUCUCACGAACUCCUCUCACAAACUCGAAGAAAACUCUCCCUCUAAAUUGUACCUUCCCCCCUCAAUCGCUCUCUCUCAGACGAG
rnacentral:lncRNA from 1 species